CGAAAUGUGAUAAGUAGUGUGAAUUGCAGAAUUCAGUGAAUCAUCGAAUCUUUGAACGCACAUUGCGCCCGCCAGUAUUCUGGCGGGCAUGCCUGUUCGAGCGUCAUUACAACCCUCAGGCCCCCGGGCCUGGCGUUGGGGAUCGGCGGAAGCCCCCUGCGGGCACAACGCCGUCCCCCAAAUACAGUGGCGGUCCCGCCGCAGCUUCCAUUGCGUAGUAGCUAACACCUCGCAACUGGAGAGCGGCGCGGCCACGCCGUAAAACACCCAACUUCUGAAUGUUGACCUCGAAUCAGGUAGGAAUACCCGCUGAACUUAAGC
rnacentral:misc_RNA from 1 species